rnacentral:rRNA from 1 species
AUUGAACGCUGGCGGCAGGCCUAACACAUGCAAGUCGAGCGGAUGAAGGGAGCUUGCUCCUGGAUUCAGCGGCGGACGGGUGAGUAAUGCCUAGGAAUCUGCCUGGUAGUGGGGGAUAACGUCCGGAAACGGGCGCUAAUACCGCAUACGUCCUGAGGGAGAAAGUGGGGGAUCUUCGGACCUCACGCUAUCAGAUGAGCCUAGGUCGGAUUAGCUAGUUGGUGGGGUAAAGGCCUACCAAGGCGACGAUCCGUAACUGGUCUGAGAGGAUGAUCAGUCAAACUGAAACGGAGACACGGUCCAAACUCCUACGGGAGGCAGCAGUGGGGAAUAUUGGACAAUGGGCGAAAGCCUGAUCCAGCCAUGCCGGGGGUGUGAAGAAGGUCUUCGGAUUGUAAAGAACUUUAAGUUGGGAGGAAGGGCAGUAAGUUAAUACCUUGCUGUUUGGACGUUACCAACAGAAUAAGCACCGGCUAACUUCGU